UGCGCACGCACGCACGCACGGGCGCGUUCUGCUGACUCCGCUGUCAUGAGUGGACCAUCUUAGCCUCACUCGUUGCGCUGUCAUGGCAGAGUUUUACGCUCUGACCCCUUGGCCCUCGUGACUGCGCUUUUCACGGCGGCUCCGUUUUGACGACGUAGUAACACGCUGCGGGUACUGGGAGUCAUUUGGGGAUACGCUGUACUUUUCAUGCGGUAUCCCCCGUGGAGCCUCCCGGCUGGGCCGCGGCCGUAUGUCUCGCCCACAAAACGUUCCAAGGCAGCAAAGUUGCCAAAGGGACCCAUUUUGCCCAAAGUCGCUAAAGACAACGGCGAAAAGGAAGGGCCGAGUCACUUGUGCCAUGGCAGCCUUUUGCGCCGUUUCACGGGUGGAAACGGACAACAUAAACACGACAUUGAUGGGUCCCGUUGGGAUGAUAUCCUUGAGAUCAUUGCAGAUGGCCUUUGCUGGGAUUCAA